GUCCCUGUGUUGCAUUGGAUAGCGAGUUGGACUUCUUAUCCAAAGGUCGUGAAUUCGAAUCCCACCUUGGAUG